rnacentral:rRNA from 1 species
GACGAACGCUGGCGGCGUGCUUAACACAUGCCAGUCGAACGGAGAGGCCCCUUUGGGGGUACUCGAGUGGCGAACGGGUGAGUAACACGUGAGUAACCUGCCCUUGACUUCGGGAUAACUUCAGGAAACUGGGGCUAAUACCGGAUAGGAAUCCUUGCUGCAUGGUGGGGGUUGGAAAGCUUCGGCGGUUUUGGAUGGACUCGCGGCUUAUCAGCUUGUUGGUGGGGUAGUGGCUUACCAAGGCUUUGACGGGUAGCCGGCCUGAGAGGGCGACCGGCCACAUUGGGACUGAGAUACGGCCCAGACUCCUACGGGAGGCAGCAGUGGGGAAUAUUGCACAAUGGGCGGAAGCCUGAUGCAGCAACGCCGCGUGCGGGAUGACGGCCUUCGGGUUGUAAACCGCUUUCAGCAGGGGCGGAGCUUGUGGUGACGGUACCUGCAGAAGAAGCACCGGCUAACUACGUG